GAUGAACGCUAGCGGCAAGCUUAAUACAUGCAAGUCGUGGGGCAGCAGGUCUGUAGCAAUACAGAUGCUGGCGACCGGCAAACGGGCGCGUAACACGUACGCAACUUACCCAUUACAGGGGAAUAGCCAAGGGAAACUUGGAUUAAUACCCCAUAUUAUAUAGGAUUGGCAUCAGUCUUAUAUCAAAGCUUCGGCGGUAAUGGAUGGGCGUGCGGUUGAUUAGAUAGUUGGCGGGGUAACGGACCACCAAGUCUACGAUCAAUAGCUGAUGUGAGGACAUGAUCAGCCAGACAGGCACAGAGACACUGUCACGACUCCUACGGGAGGCAGCAGUAAGGAAUAUUGAGCAAUGGACAAAAGUCUGACCCAGCCAUGCCGCGUGAAGGAUGAAGGUCCUCUGGAUUGUAGACUUCUUUUAUCUGGGGCGAAAAUCACCCUUUCUAGGGUGCUUGACAGUACCAGAGUAAUAAGCACCGGCUAACUCCGUGCCAGCAGCCGCAGUAAAAC
rnacentral:rRNA from 1 species